rnacentral:piRNA from 1 species
UGAGCUUUUGUAGUAUUUGAGGCUUAGUUGU